rnacentral:lncRNA from 1 species
UCAACGCAUGCAAGUGCACCUUAUCUAAUCUUUCUUCAUCUUUUUAAGAGGGAAAGGCCUGUCCGCCAGUCCGUCUCUAGUGCCUUUCAUUCAACAUUAGAGGAGUACAAAAUGUAAACCGGACCGCGAGAGAACUAAAGUUACAGAAUAGUCCUUAAAAUUUACAAAAAGGACCCUAAAACAUAAAAUGGAAAAGCAAUCAGGUCCUUCUUCUUCACUGCAGAGGUCUGCUCGCCCAACCGUCCAGCUCGAUGCCCACCGCGCCACUCUAUCGUGCUCAGCUUGCCGCGCCGCCGCCCUGUCCUGCUCGUCGCGCCGCCGUGUGGACCCGCUCAGCUGCGCGGCUCCGUCCCAGCCACGCUCGGGAGGCAUGCAAGGGAGUCGGGGAUGGGCGGUGCUCGCCAGGCGGAGUCCUCGGCUGCUAUCGCGGCGGAGCUCGCGAGUUGGGCACGGGACCUCAAGGCCAGGGCUGGUGCCGGGGGUGGAGGCCGGCGGAGGCCUGCGGGGGUGACGGGGCCGGGGCCGCCGGUGGCCAGCGGGGGCGACGGGGCGUGGAGGCUGCCGGGGGCGACGAGCGACGGGGCUUGGAGGCCGGCGGAGGCCUGCGGGGGUGACGGGGCCGGGGCCACCGGGGACGACGAGCGACGGGGCUCAGAGGCCGGCGGGCGAGACGAUGGCCAGCGUUGCCCGGGCCGGCCGGCGAGAUGGCGGCCAGCGAGGUGGAGGUGGGCGCCGGCAGGCCUACGGUGGCGACGGGGGAAGUGGCCGCGGCCACCAGGCAAAGUGGUUGCCGGCGAGGCAGGGAACGGGGGGUGAGCUGUUGGCCGGAGCCGGUGGUCGAGGUGGUGCGGGCGCCGGUCGGUUUGCUCGAUGGACCGAGAGGGAGAGAAACGAGAGGGAGAGAGAAACGUGCGGUGGGGAUGGGGAUAAGGUAGACAGGACGUGGGGCGCGUGGGUGCUACCUGGGGGCGUGUGCAUCGUGGGUGGGUGGUGUGUGGACGGCCUGGUGGGUGGGAUGUGUGUCUACGAUGUUGCCAAGUCAUCGAUCCAUGUGAUCGAUACAUGUGAUGUGCUUUCUCUUUGCCGUCUGCAACAAAAAAUACAGACGGCAUAGAGCUCACUUUGCCGUCUGCAAAACAAAACACAGACGGAAAAUAAUCUUUGCCGUCUACGGAAAAAAUAUAGACAGCAAAGAAUCUUUGCCGUCUGUGAUUUUUGUUGCAGACGGCAAAGUGAGCUCUUUGCCGUCUGUGAUUUUUCUCGCAGAUGGCAAAGUUUAUUUUCCCGUCAGUUUUUCUUUGUCGUCUGGUGAUGCCAGCAAACCCUUUCUUUGCCGUCUGCCUGACGAAAAGCUGACGACAAAUUAUCUGUUUCCCGUAGUGGGAGUGACAGAGGUCUAUGGAAAAUGUGACUUAAGUCCGCAUGCUGCUGUGCCUGUACCAGAGUGAUGUCUUUAUUGAGCAAAAGAGUGUAGUUUAGGGAACAAUGUGAUUAGAGGGCUAUUCAUCCACUUAUCUAUCCUGAGCAUUAUUGUAUCUCCUCUACCAGCUUUGCACUUUGUAUGCUCUUUGAAUGUGGGCAACAGUUUCAUUACAGAUUUCCACCAGAAUGAACCAAUAAAUCUAUCUCCUGGUAAACUCUCCUAGUAAUAUGUCUCCCAAAUAAUAUUAACCCAUGGAAUGUCUUCUCUAUUGAAGAAUUUGUGCAGAAAUUUCAUGAGCAGGGCUUGAUUAUGAACCUGAAGAUCUAAAACUCCCAAGCCACCAUGGGAUUUAGGUAGACAAACUUUAUUCCAGGAGAUCAGUACCAUGCCUCUGUCAUGAGUUACACAUUUCCUCCAAAAGCAGUUCAUCAGGUAGGAGUUAAUUUGUUUAAGCACAGUCUUUGGGAUCAUGAGAGUACACAUGAAAAAGGUUGGCAUGCUUGUAAAGACUGACUUGAGUAGUGUGAGCUUAUCUCUAGUAGAUAACAUUGUGGAGCAGCUAAGCAAUAUGUUUUCUGUUCUCUUCAACAUUGGCAUAUAGUCUUCAACUUUUGGUUUGGUAGAGCCCAGGGGAAGUCCCAAGUAAGUGUGAGGCCAACAUCCAAUUUUACACUCAAGCAGAGUACAUAGUUCCAGCAUUUUCUCUUGAGGAGUAUUAAUAGAAAUAAUUGUGUAUUUUGAGUAAUUGAUUUGCAGACCAGAGAAUUCAGCAUAGUGAAAGAGCAUAUUUUUGAUAUGUUGAACUUGUCUGUGGUCAGCCUGGGCCACAAGCACAGUAUCAUCAGCAUAUUGAAUAAUGGGGAAAUCAGAAGAAGAGUUGUGUUGCAGAGGUGGAUGCACCAUGGCAUUUCUCACGACUUCAUUAAGCAUGCUUUAUGAUACGUCUCCAACGUAUCUAUAAUUUUUGAUUGUUCCAUGCUAUUAUAUUAUCAACCUUGGAUGUUUUAUAUGCAUUUAUAUGAUAUUUUAUAUGAUUUUUGGGACUAACCUAUUAACCUAGAGCCUAGUGCAAUUUCUGUUUUUUCCUUGUUUUAGAGUAUAUCGCAGAAAAGGAAAAUCAAACGGAGUCCAAUUGACCUGAAACUUCACGGAACUUAUUUUUGGAACGGGAGCAAUCCAGGAGACUUGGAGUAGACGUCAGGGAAGCUUCGAGGGAGGCACGAGGCAGGGAGGCGUGCCCUACCCCCCUGGGCGCUCCCACCACCCUGGUGGGCCCCUCGUGGAUCCCCUGACCGACUUCUUUCGCCUAUAUAUGUCCAUAUACCCUAAAAACAUCGUGGAGCAGAAUAGAUCGGGAGUUCCGCCUCCAGAAGCUCCGUAGCCACCGAAAACCAAUCUAGACCCGUUCCGGCACCCUACCAGAGGGGGAAUCCCUUUUCGGUGGCCAUCUUCAUCAUCCCGGCGCUCUCCAUGACGAGGAGGGAGUAGUUCACCCUCGGGGCUGAGGGUAUGUACCAGUAGCUAUGUGUUUGAUCUCUCUCUCUCUCUCUCUCUCUCUCUCGUGUUCUUGAGGUGGCACGAUCUUGAUGUAUCACGAGCUUUGCUAUUAUAGUUGGAUCUUAUGAUGUUUGCCGUCAGAAAGCAGACGGCAAAGUCAGACGGCAAAGAUUAAUCGGCAAAGAAUACUUUGCCGUCAGCUUUUUAUCUGACAGACGGCAAAUUCUUUGCCGUCAGCCGAAACUUCUUUGCCGUCUGCCUUAUAAAUCACAAACGGCAAAGAAAAGUGGUUUUGCCGUCAGCUAGACUACAUCUUUGCCAUGAGCUAUUUGUGUCUUUGCCUUCAACCUCGUAUAUCACAGACCGCAAAGAAUGGGUAAAAUUAAAAAAAAUACAGCAGGGUUGCUCCCAAGGGAUGCUGUCAACGCAUGCAAGUGCACCUUAUCUAAUCUUUCUUCAUCUUUUUAAGAGGGAAAGGCCUGUCCGUCAGUCCGUCUCUAGUGCCUUUCAUUCAACAUUAGAGGAGUACAAAAUGUAAACCGGACCGCGAGAGAACUAAAGUUAUAGAAUAGUCCUUAAAAUUUACAAAAAGGACGCUAAAACAUAAAAUGGAAAAGCAAUCAGGUCCUUCUUCGUCGCUGCAGAGGUCUGCUCGCCCAACCAUCCAGCCGGAUGCCCACCGCGCCACUCUAUCGUGCUCAGCUUGCCGCGCCGCCGCCCUGUCCUGCUCGUCGCGCCGCCGUCUGGACCCGCUCAGCUGCGCGGCUCUGCCCCAGCCGCGCUUGGGAGGCAUGGAAGGGAGUCGGGGAUGGGCAGUGCUCGCCAGGCGGAGUCCCCGGCUGCUGUCGCGGCAGAGCUCGCGAGUCAGGCACGGGAC